rnacentral:rRNA from 1 species
UACGUAGGUGACAAGCGUUAUCCGGAUUUAUUGGGCGUAAAGCGCACGCAGGCGGUCGAUUAAGUCUGACGUGAAAUCUCUCGGCUUAACCGGGAGCGGUCGUUGGAAACUAAUCAGCUUGAGGCGAUGAGAGGGAUGCGGAAUUCCAGGUGUAGCGGUGAAAUGCGUAGAUAUCUGGAGGAACACCGGUGGCGAAGGCGGCAUCCUGGACCAAUAUUGACGCUGAGGAGCGAAAGCCAGGGGAGCAAACGGG